rnacentral:lncRNA from 1 species
UGUGGUGCUGCACCCAGUUGAAAGCCUGCACUGAUUGUGAUGAACUUUCCUAACAGGAGGCACGGGUCCUUCGUCGGACGCUGGCUGGGGAUGUAUGCUGCGAUGCGGGCAGAUGAUGCUGGCCCAAGCACUGAUCUGCAGACACUUAGGGAGAGAUUGGCAAUGGGAAAAACACAAAAAACAACCAGAAGAAUAUCACAGAAUCCUACGAUGCUUUCUCGACAGGAAGGCUUGCUGUUAUUCAAUCCACCAGAUGGCACAGGUGGGUGUUGGAGAGGGGAAGUCAAUUGGAGAAUGGUUUUGGACCAAAUACAGUUGCUCAGUACUAAAGUAAGUGAGAUCAUACCAGUCUCAUUCAGAACGUACUCCCCUGGGGCAGCCAAGAGAAGGCCCAGGCAGAGUUUUGAAGGCUGCAUCUCCCCCUGUCCC